GAGCACGUAGGUGGGUUUGUAAGUCAGAUGUGAAAGCCUUCUGUUCAACGGAAGAAUUGCAUCUGAAACUGCGAGUCUUGAGUGUAGGAGGGGAGAAUGGAACUUCUGGUGGAGCGGUGAAAUGCGUAGAUAUCAGAAGGAACGCCGGCGGCGAAAGCGAUUCUCUGGCCUAUUACUGACACUCAGUGUGCGAAAGCUAGGGGAGCAAACGGGAUUAGAUACCCCGGUAGUCCUAGCCGUAAACGAUGGGCACUAAGUAGAGGGAAUUACCGAUAUUCUCUCUGCCGUAGCUAACGCAUUAAGUGCCCCGCCUGGGGAGUACGGCCGCAAGGCUAAAACUCAAAAGAAUUGACGGGGGCUCGCACAAGCGGUGGAGCAUGUGGCUUAAUUCGAUGCAACGCGAAAAACCUUACCGGGGCUUGACAUGAUAGAAGUAGGAACCCGAAAGGGUAACGAACGGUAUCCGGUCCGUAGCUAUUACAGGUGUUGCAUGGCUGUCGUCAGCUCGUGUCGUGAGACGUUGGGUUAAGUCCCCUAACGAGCGAAACCCUUGUUUUUAGUUGCCAUCGGGUUGUGCCGGGCACUCUAGAAAGACUGCCGUCAUCAAGACGGAGGAAGGUGGGGACGACGUCAAGUCAUCAUGGCCCUUAUGCCCCGGGCUGCACACGUGCUACAAUGGUCGGUACAAACGGAAGCGAAGCCGAGAGGUGAAGCGAAUCC
rnacentral:rRNA from 1 species